GGAUGGGUGGCAGAGUGGUCUAUUGCACCGGUCUUGAAAACCGGAGGGGCGCAAGCCUCCGUGGGUUCGAAUCCUACCCCAUCCGCCA
rnacentral:tRNA from 5 species